AACGCGAAGAACCUUACCUGGGCUCGAAAUGCUGUGGACCAGCUUAUGAAAGUAGGCCUUCCCGCAAGGGACCGCAGUAUAGGUGCUGCAUGGCUGUCGUCAGCUCGUGUCGUGAGAUGUUGGGUUAAGUCCCGCAACGAGCGCAACCCUUGUCCUGUGUUGCCAUACCGAAAGGUGGAACUCGCAGGAGACCGCCAGGGAUAACCUGGAGGAAGGUGGGGAUGACGUCAAGUCAUCAUGGCCUUUAUGUCCAGGGCCACACACGUGCUACAAUGGGCGGUACAAAGCGCUGCCAACCCGCGAGGGGGAGCUAAUCGCCAAAAACCGUCCUCAGUUCGGAUUGCAGGCUGCAACUCGCCUGCAUGAAGCUGGAAUCGCUAGUAAUGCUAUAUCAGAACGAUAGCGUGAAUACGUUCCCGGGCCUUGUACACACCGGAGUA
rnacentral:rRNA from 1 species